AUUUGAUGUUUAGAAAGACCAGCACUCUAUGGUAGGUAGCAUUUUCCUCAACAGGUUCAGUCAGGGAAUCCUUAACAACUUUUGCAGAAAAGGUAAUUAUUUCCUACAUUUCUCACAUUUAUUUUCCAAAUGUCCUGCUUCAAAUAUAAAACUCUCUUACCAUAUCCAAGAUACCACCUUUGGAUUGUCUCAUACCUGAUAAAUCCAAAACUACUAACACAGCUGUCUGCCUUGUAACCACACCUUUAAAAAAUGAAAGUUUUUACAUUUCCUAUCAGGUUCUACAUUACCCAAACCCACUAUCACUUUUCCUAUGCUAACCGUCCUCCUAGUCACACAUGUUUAGUUCGGCAUGUGCUUCCUAAGCUACUGCACACCUCUCUUCUCCAUGCAACCACUUGCCAUGUUACCACUGCACUUUUACUCUCUAACACUGCUCUCUGGGCCAUCGGUAGCCCCAUGAAAGCAGGGACCCUGUCAGAAUCAUUGACUACUAUACCCUUGGUAUGUAUCAUGCUUAACACAAACAAUGUCUACGUGACAUGAAUGCAUGCACUAUCAACUAAUUUCUUUGAAGAGAAAACAUCCAAAAUUUUGUUUUAUUUUUAAAUUUAUUUAUUGUGGUUAUUUGAGACAGACUCAUCAUGUAAACUAGGCUGGCCUCCAAUUUGCUCUGACACUGGAGAGGACCAGGAGUUCUCCUGAUCCUUCUACUUCAUUCAGCAUCCUGGGUGCUAGGAUUAUAGGCAUGCACCAUCAUACCUGGAUUUCUGCAGACGUUUUUUAAAUUGCCUUCCCUCUUGCCUUUACCUGUUUAAAAUAAUAGUCAGUUCACAGUUGCAUUUAGAAAAGCAAGUAUUUGCUUGAAACUAACAGUCUUUGUUUAAGGAUUAAAUAAUUUAUUUUUAAGAAAAUUUGGGCUUCUGUUUUGCUAAUUUUUCAUAUUACUUAUUAAUAACUUCUUCUUUAAGUUUCUCUGCAAGCAAUCGCCUCUUUAGUAAUGUUUGUUUCUCCUCUGCUGUCAUUUCUGGCUUCUCUGUCAUUUCCUUGAAGACAAAAAAAUUGCUAAAAUUAGCUUCAAAUUUCUAAAAUUCUCGACAUAUUUCAAAACAACAAAGAUUAAGGGCAUUUUCAGUAAAACUAAGUCAACAACCAAGUUACUUCAAGUUUCUUGAAUCUUUUCCUGGAGAAGCAUUGAGAAGGUGAUGGAUGGGGUAUGGAUAGACCAUUGCAAACAUUUCAGAUGGCUGAAGUAAGACACACAUACUGACCCUAAGGAACUCAGCAAGAGAAGUCAAUAAAAAUGUAUAAUGAAAUGAUUUUUUCUACCUCACAAAAUUCUCAUCUAAACUUCCCUGAGAGAAGACUUAGUUGUUGACUGGCUCAUGGUUAAUUUGAGUACAUCAACCAAACAAAAUUCAUUGGAGGCUUUCUUGCACAAACAAAAACCUCUUCCCAUGGCCUUCAUACUUGAUAUACCAAAACUAGCCGUACCUCUGCCUCCCUGGUAGGCUUUCCUUUUUGCUCAGUAUUCUGGAUCUGCUUUGUCCUCGUAUCCUUUCUCAUGGACAGCAGCUUAUCUCUCUUCUGCUUGAGAUAAUGCUCUCGUUGACGUAACUCUUCUGUUCCAAGUGCUGACAAAUUCUGGUUCAGAUAAGAGAAGGGAUUGUCUAUAUUCAUUCACACAACACGUGACCAAGACAUCUAAUGAAUCAGUUCUAAGUUCCAAGAUCAUAACAAAGACAAGUGUAUGACUUUGCAUGGUUCCUAGUGCCUUGUUCAUAGUAAAUUAGCUUUCACUUACUGCUAUUGGUCCUUCCAUGCUUGCAUGCUCUAAGCCAGGUAUCUUCAAACCUUUUUGUGUGAGGGAGGAAGUUUCAGGCAACAACUCCAUCUUUCUUGCCAAGGGUUGUACUGACUGAUUAGCAAAAUGCACUUUAACUUCUAGUGGUAAACAAUGAGACCAAUUAAGAUAUUAUAACCUGUAAUUCUUAUAAUUAAGAUACAAGAACUACACUAUUAUACAAGACAUAGGUACUUCAUAAUUCAAACAGCACACUGAUCCCCUACAAAUAACAUCUUUGGUUUCCAAGCUUGUUUCCAAGUAAUGUGACUCUACACUUCAAGAACUACUUUAAAACAGAUUUUCUUUUACAUAAGGUGCCAACAACAAUAGCUUGAUGGUGAUAACAUACUAAAAGUAACUACCAGUGCACUAAGAAAAUGUAAACAUUUCUAAAGCAAGCAGAACCUUCAAAGCAUUUGUAAUAUAAGCAUUCCAUACUGUGAGAUCUGUGCUACGAGGUAUGAUUAACAGUCUCAUUGCUUCUGUAGUCUAUUUUCUAUUAGAAAAUUAGGUGAUGAAAGAAGACUGGCAAGAGGACACACUGGCCACUCAGCAUGAUGAUCUCAGGAUGCUUGUUCAUAUUCUGCAACUUGUUCUCUGCCCACGUGUACACAGUAUACAGUGGCACAUAUACACAUACACAGAGCUUGCGCUCUCUCUCUCUCUCUCUCUCUCUCUUUCUCUCUCUCUCACGCACACACACACACAAGUAAAUCAUUUUUAAGGGCCUAGGGCUUAGGAGAUGGUUUAGUGAGAAAAGUUCUUGCUGUGAGCCAUGAAAACUCUUAUUUUGGAUCCACUACACAUUUACAAAGCUAAGCUUGGCUGAAGACAACAACCACAGAGACAAAUGGAUCUCAGGAGCUUGCUGGCCUGAGAGACACUGCCUCAAACAAGGUGAGAAGCAACAGAGGAAGACACCUGACAUCAACCUCUGCCUUCUACAUGUGCAGGAAUGAAUGAGCAUUCACAUGUGUGCACACAGACAUACAUAAGCCACACAUGCACACCAAAAAAUAAAAUAAAAACAUUUUUAAUUUAAGUACACAUGGUCUGCAGAAGGAAACAGUGAGACAUGGAAAGACUAAAAAUGAUACAAAUAAGUAAAACCAUGAAGGAAGACCAUGGUACACACCUCAAAGGAUUAAUAAUCCUGCCAGAUGUGUAAAACCAGAAAAGAAACUUGACAAGGAUCACUGCUGCACACAGAACAGAUUGGCUGCACUGCAAGGAGACUAGAGAAAACCGUUGCAGGCAGAGGACCAAAGGACCUAUUGAGUUUAAAUAAUAUUGUUGUUGCUAAUAUUCAAACUAAGUUAAAAUGGCCAUUCUUAGUAGAGACUAUUUGACUCUAAGUGCUCAUGGAGCCACAGAACUGGAAAUGUAUUCAUGCAUGUAAGCAUGUGUACUCAACUCAUGCACUUACACACCCAGGCUUUGAAUAUGUUAGAUAUGUGGACAUACAUGCUCUCAAACCUAGAAAAGGAACACAUGUGAAGUCAAAAUACCUUAAUUUUCCUGUUUUUUUAAAGAAAUUGUCAGAAAGCCUAACCCAUUUCUGGCAACUCCAUCAGAGAACAAAUCUUUGUAUUAAUUUCAGUAGGAUCCAAGGGAAGACAUGAAAAAACAAGUCAAACACUUUGAUUCUUUUAAAAUUAGGACUUCUCACUAAGGUGCCAUCACUUUGCAUAAAGUGAUCUACAGAACAUCAGAUAUGCCAGUUUUACAAAGUACUGAAAAAUUAAAGAGAGAUUACUUUU
rnacentral:lncRNA from 1 species